rnacentral:lncRNA from 1 species
UACUUAAUAUAAGUUCUACUUGCAUUAGGUUUCCUUAUAACUUAAGUUAUUUGACUUCCUUUAGGAAACCUAUUAGGCACCAACAAUUGGAGUCCUUGCACCCACAAAAUCACACACACUUUUGCACCCAAGGGACACCCCAUAAAGGAUCCACACGCCCUCUAAUAGGUGGAGAUACCCAACUUGAUCAAAUCAAGUGACACCC